AUACUCUAGUUUCUUUGCAGAUCGUAUAAAUCUUUCGCCUUUUACUAAAGAUUUCCGUGGAAGGGAACUUUUUUGAGUUUGAACUAAUUUUUUGAUGCCCUGUUUCAGCGGGGUU